AUCCUAUGCUGCCGAGAAAAGCCUCUAGUGAGUGUUGUGGCGGCCCGUACCCUAAACCGACUCAGGUGGUCAGGUAGAGAAUACCAAGGCGAUCGGGUGAACUGUGGUUAAGGAACUCGGCAAAUUGCCCCCGUGACUUCGGGAGAAGGGGGACCUCUGCUGGUGAUGGGCUUUACGUUCUGAGCUGGUGGGGGUCGCAGUGGCCAGGGGGAAGCGACUGUUUACUAAAAACACAGGUCCGUGCGAAGUCGUAAGACGAUGUAUACGGACUGACGCCUGCCCGGUGCCGGAACGUUAAGGGGACCGCUUAGCCAACGCGAGUUGGCGAAGGUGAGAACUUAAGCGCCGGUAAACGGCGGUGGUAACUAUAACCAUCCUAAGGUAGCGAAAUUCCUUGUCGGGUAAGUUCCGACCUGCACGAAUGGCGUAACGACUUCCCCGCUGUCUCAACCACAGACCCGGCGAAAUUGCACUACGAGUAAAGAUGCUCGAUUCGCGCAGCAGGACGGAAAGACCCCGGGACCUUCACUACAGCUUGACAUUGGCGUUUGGAACGUCUUGUGUAGGAUAGGUGGGAGACUGGGAAGCUGUCACGCUAGUGAUGGUGGAGUCAUUGGUGAAAUACCACUCUGGUCGUUUUGAACGUCUAACUCUGGUCCGUGAUCCGGAUCGGGGACAGUGUCUGGUGGGUAGUUUAACUGGGGCGGUUGCCUCCUAAAGAGUAACGGAGGCGCCCAAAGGUUCCCUCAGCCUGGUUGGCAAUCAGGUGUUGAGUGUAAGUGCACAAGGGAGCUUGACUGUGAGACUGACAGGUCGAGCAGGAGCGAAAGCUGGGACUAGUGAUCCGGCAUCGGCGUGUGGAAGCGGUGUCGCUCAACGGCUAAAAGGUACCCCGGGGAUAACAGGCUGAUCUUCCCCAAGAGUCCAUAUCGACGGGAUGGUUUGGCACCUCGAUGUCGGCUCGUCGCAUCCUGGGGCUGGAGUAGUCCCAAGGGUUGGGCUGUUCGCCCAUUAAAGCGGUACGCGAGCUGGGUUUAGAACGUCGCGAGACAGUUCGGUCCCUGUCCGCUGCGCGCGCAGGAGACUUGAAGGGGGCUGUCCCUAGUACGAGAGGACCGGGACGGACGAACCUCUGGUGUGCCAGUUGUACCGCCUGGUGCACGGCUGGUUGGCUACGUUCGGAAGGGAUAACCGCUGAAAGCAUCUAAGCGGGAAGCUCGCCUUGAGAUGAGGUCUCCCACCCCGUGAGGGGGUAAGGCUCCCGGUAGAUCACCGGGUUGAUAGGCCGGAGGUGGAAGCACGGUAACGUGUGGAGCUGACCGGUACUAAUAGGCCGAGGACUUGACC
rnacentral:rRNA from 1 species